rnacentral:rRNA from 1 species
UACGUAGGUGGCAAGCGUUAUCCGGAAUUACUGGGCGUAAAGCGCACGCAGGCGGUCUUUUAAGUUUGACGUGAAAGCUCCCGGCUUAACUGGGAGAGGUCGUUGAAUACUGGAAGACUUGAGGCAAUGAGAGGGGUGUAGAAUUCCCGGUGUAGUGGUGGAAUGCGUAGAUAUCGGGGGGAAUACCAGUGGCGAAGGCGGGUCUCUGGGCAACAACUGACGCUGAGGAGCGAAAGCGCGGGGAGCGAACAGG